GCUUGGAUCGUGGGGCGUCCUUCAUAUUCUGGGCCAAAAGGAGAGCUGCAUCUUGUUUUUGGGGUCAGUAGCUUGGCUUCCCUGAGGACCAGAUGAAGUUGCUCUGGUUUGGCUAUCAGAACUACGGGUGGCAGAAGGUUUGCAGUGAGGUGUUCAGGAUGAUGGCGGGGAGUAGAAGACCGGACCUGCUGGUCUUACACGCAUGUGGUAAUGACCUCGGGCUUAUCCCACAGCGUCUCUUGGUUAAGCGAAUGAAACAGGAUAUUAACCGUAUUAGGGUGAGGGUCCCUGGGGUGCAGCUGGUCUGAUCUGAAAUGGUUCCCCGGCUCCGUUGGUGGCACACUCGGGACCCGGCAGCUGUUGGUCGAUGCCGGACGAAGGUGAACGGGUUGAUGGCUAGCUUUGUCAGGAAUUUGGGGGGAGUGGUGGUCCAGCACAGGGUGCUGGAAGGUGUGUUAGCAGGCUAUUUCUCUCCUGAUGGGAUCCAUCUCUCAGAUGUGGGGUGGGACCUGUUUAAUUUAGGGUUGCAGGACGGCUUGGCCAGGGCGUUAUUUCU